rnacentral:rRNA from 1 species
GACGAACGCUGGCGGUGUGCUUAACACAUGCAAGUCGAACGGUAAGGCCCUUUCUGGGGUACACGAUUGGCGAACGGGUGAGUAACACGUGAGUAACCUGCCCUCAUCUCUGGGAUAACAGUCGGAAACGGUUGCUAAUACUGGAUAUGAGCUUGCAAGGCAUCUUGUGGGUUGGAAAGAUUUUUUUUGGUUGGGGAUGGACUCGCGGCCUAUCAGCUUGUUGGUGAGGUAGUGGCUCACCAAGGCUUCGACGGGUAGCCGGCCUGAGAGGGCGACCGGCCACAUUGGGACUGAGAUACGGCCCAAACUCCUACGGGGGGCAGCAGUGGGGAAUAUUGCACAAUGGACGGAAGCCUGAUGCAGCAACGCCGCGUGCGGGAUGACGGCAUUCGGGUUGUAAACCGCUGUAAAUUGUGACGAAGCUUUUUUGUGACGGUAGCAGUAGAAGAAGCACCGGCUAACUACGUG